rnacentral:rRNA from 1 species
AGCGAACGCUGGCGGCAGGCUUAACACAUGCAAGUCGAGCGGGCACUUUCGGGUGUCAGCGGCGGACGGGUGAGUAACGCGUGGGAACGUGCCCUCUGGUUCGGAAUAACUCAGGGAAACUUGAGCUAAUACCGGAUACGCCCUUUUGGGGAAAGGCUUGCUGCCGGAGGAUCGGCCCGCGUCUGAUUAGCUAGUUGGUGAGGUAACGGCUCACCAAGGCGACGAUCAGUAGCUGGUCUGAGAGGAUGAUCAGCCACACUGGGACUGAGACACGGCCCAGAAUCCUACGGGAGGCAGCAGUGGGGAAUAUUGGACAAUGGGCGCAAGCCUGAUCCAGCCAUGCCGCGUGAGUGAUCAAGGCCUUAGGGUUGUAAAGCUCUUUUAUCCGGGACGAUAAUGACGGUACCGGAGGAAUAAGCCCCGGCUAACUUCGUG